rnacentral:lncRNA from 1 species
AAAAAUAAAAAAAUAAAAAUAAAAUUUUAAUGUAAGAAAAUUGAAGGAAAAAAUGGACUUUUGUGUUAUGUCUUCCCUUACUUUGUUCUGUCUGUAUAUUCCUAUAUUGAUUCGGUAGUAGCAAUGCAUAAUUUUCCCACAAACUUCAUCCUUACAUGUAGAGAAAGUGUUGAUAAAAUAUUCUUGCAAUAAAGUGCUCUUUGCAAAUAUGUACUUCAUUUUCACUGUUUAUUCAAUUUUCUUAAUACCAUAUAAGUUCUUACAGGAGAGCUUCAGAUUCUCCAUACAAAAUGGUUAAUCUAAAACUAUGCUGGAUAGAGUAAAACCCUUGCUGAGCUUCUUAGAAAAAAAAAAAAGAUGCUUUAUGUGUCAAAUAUAGGCUAUGUUAAAUCAUAGCAAAGCCUUUUGCCUCAUUGCACUCCCGAAAGCAAGAUGGGUCACCAGCAGCCCUACUGGAGCCACCCACGGAAGCUGGGCCAGGGUUCUCACUCUUGUCACAUCUGCCCAAACCAGCAUAGUCUGAUCUGGAAACACGGCCUCAAUAUGUGCCGCCGGUGUUUCCAUCAGUAUGCAAAGGACAUAGGUUUCAUUGAGUUGGACUAAGUGAUCUUCCUUGAAU